rnacentral:rRNA from 2 species
CGCCUCGCAAGAGGAGCGGCAGACGGGUGAGUAACGCGUGGGAAUCUACCCAUCUCUACGGAAUAACGCAUGGAAACGUGUGCUAAUACCGUAUACGCCCCUUGGGGGAAAGAUUUAUCGGAGAUGGAUGAGCCCGCGUUGGAUUAGCUAGUUGGUGGGGUAAAGGCCUACCAAGGCGACGAUCCAUAGCUGGUCUGAGAGGAUGAUCAGCCACAUUGGGACUGAGACACGGCCCAAACUCCUACGGGAGGCAGCAGUGGGGAAUAUUGGACAAUGGGCGCAAGCCUGAUCCAGCCAUGCCGCGUGAGUGAUGAAGGCCUUAGGGUUGUAAAGCUCUUUCACCGGAGAAGAUAAUGACGGUAUCCGGAGAAGAAGCCCCGGCUAACUUCGUGCCAGCAGCCGCGGUAAUACGAAGGGGGCUAGCGUUGUUCGGAAUUACUGGGCGUAAAGCGCACGUAGGCGGAUCGAUCAGUCAGGGGUGAAAUCCCGCAGCUCAACUGCGGAACUGCCUUUGAUACUGUCGAUCUAGAGUAUGGAAGAGGUGAGUGGAAUUCCGAGUGUAGAGGUGAAAUUCGUAGAUAUUCGGAGGAACACCAGUGGCGAAGGCGGCUCACUGGUCCAUUACUGACG